GGCCGAUGACGAAUCACCGUUCAGAGCCGGCUCGGCACCGGCGAUGAAGAUCCCUGUGAGUUCUGAGGCC
rfam:Halorubrum sp. J07HR59 genomic scaffold scf7180000001381, whole genome shotgun sequence.